UGAUGUAUAUCAAACCUAACAACCAUUUACCUACCUUGAAUAUAUGUAUUUCUUACGAUACCUUUGAUGACUGUGAGUGACAUGAUGUAUUUGUGUAACAACUAUAGCAAACUCAACGUGGCAAUUAUUCCAAAUGAUUUGUUGCCAGCCAGUUGACAGUCUUUGGCUGAAAGUUUAAAAACAAUCAGUUGCUGUGUCGAUCUGCUCCUCGAUAGACUGUGAACAUGACCUGACUCAAUUCGAUCCUGAACUAAACCGAGGCCGUGCCUUAACCAGAACAAAGGAGCCAUGAUCACUGAAACCUGCACUACUAAAAGCAGAGGCGAUGACAGUAAUGAUAGCUACUGGUUAUCUAUUAUUACUAAUUAUAGCUACAGUAAUGAUGGCUACUGUACAACUUAGAUAGCUGUACUUUGAGAAAGAGUUACACUGCAUUUAGUGAUGAAACUGUUUGUCAGUUGAUAUUUCAUGAGUUGAUACCUACAUAUAAUGACGUUUUGUUAGAAUAGCUUCUCGACAUUGUGAGCCAGGUCUAUCAAUUGUUGACUUGUAAUAGAUGGCAUGCAUUUUGUAUGUAAAACUACA